UACGUAGGGGGCAAGCGUUGUCCGGAAUCAUUGGGCGUAAAGCGCGUGUAGGCGGCUUCGUAAGUCCGUUGUGAAAGUCCAGGGCUCAACCCUGGAAUGCCGAUGGAUACUGCGGAGCUAGAGUCCGGAAGAGGCGAGUGGAAUUCCUGGUGUAGCGGUGAAAUGCGCAGAUAUCGGGAGGAACACCAAUGGCGAAGGCAGCUCGCUGGGACGGUACUGACGCUGAGACGCGAAAGCGUGGGGAGCAAACAGG
rnacentral:rRNA from 1 species